rnacentral:lncRNA from 1 species
UUGCAGUGUUGUGUUUCUUCUUUAAUCUCACCGAAUCUAACAUCAAGGUAUCUGAAGCGUUUCUUUCUUUUCAUUUCGGACAAAUAGGUUUUUCUUGAGGGAGAGACUUUAAAUGCGCUUUUUUCUUCAUUUUUUUUUAAUUUAAGACAAAUAGCUUCUUCUUGAGGAAGAGACUUGACGUGUUGCGUUUCUUCUUCAAUCUCAUCAAACCCUAUGGUCACCAUUGUUUGCGCUCAUCUGCACCUCGCUU